rnacentral:rRNA from 1 species
UACGGAGGAUGCAAGCGUUAUCCGGAUUUAUUGGGCGUAAAGCGUCCGCAGGUGGCUAUACAAGUCUGCUGUUAAAGCGUGGGGCUUAACUCCAUACAGGCAGUGGAAACUGUAAAGCUAGAGUCUGGUAGGGGUCACGGGAAUUCCCAGUGUAGCGGUGAAAUGCGUAGAUAUUGGGAAGAACACCAGCGGCGAAAGCGCGUGACUGGGCCGGAACUGACGCUCAUGGACGAAAGCUAGGGGAGCGAAAGGG